ACGUGACACCUCAACUGCAGUGCCUGCGGACAUAAGGGCUUUAAUAGAAUACCGCUGCUCCAGCCAAGGCCCGCGGUCGACGACGCCAUCAUGUGAACGUUUAUAGCCUAUUAUUACGUAUUAAAAAAAUUAUAAAGAACAAGAUCUCGGCUGUCAGGAAUUUUUUGUUUUUAUUUAAAAGGCAUAACAAUCUCCCCUAAUAAGUGCAGCAUAUUUUUAAAUGUAUCAUAGUUUGAUAAACAGCUUAGAGUUGCUCUUGACUAAAUUUGAACGAAACUAAAAGCUCGUGUCAAAAUGUAGCGACAGAGCCUAAAGAAAAAAUAUUUAUUAAGCGUUAGCGACGGGCACUUUUGAUAAAUAUCUAUCUUAAAAUUAUGUAGAGUGCACCUGUGACCACCGAUCACCACAAAAGUACGAUUUCGAUAGGAUAUAAUAAUUUUCAUGUCGCGUGGAGGGGUUGCCAGAUGUCGCUUUCUGAACGAAACUUACUGGACAGUGUGUCACUACUCUCUAUAGCCGACUGUACAUUCCAUACUUAACCUUCUGGCAUAUUACAAGAAAACACUAGGAGAGGAUGGGCUAGAUUCAAGAUAAACCAGUACAAUCUGACUGAACUUUGUCUAAAACUCGAAAUGGAAGAAGACUCACUUACGGGUUUGAAAAUAGCGAAACCGACACUCGACACACCAAAGCGACACACCGACUCCAGCCGCCGCUCGGGAAGGACGUGUAGUUGGCGCCUCUUGUAGAAUGCAGAGAGGCAGCAUUAUUUUUUUCCUGUGUCUGGACGUGUGCUGGGAUGUUUUCUGUCUUCCGCAAAGCAAAACUGAUGGGAGGAGUGCAGGCAAGGCUUUGACAACCCAUAUUGUUUACGAAGGAGGAACAGCCAAGCAGGCUAAACACUUGAGCCACCUGAGAGAUGAACAGAGAAGAAUACAUCCUGUGACCAAAGUCAACAACUCAAAUUAUUCAAUGCCACUAUAAAUGUAUUUCUAAUGCCUCCCAACAAAUUUCUGCAAAUUGCUUUGCCAUGAAACUCAGUGACGAUGGAAGUUGACCAUGAAAGGAUGGGGCAUAAUUAUGCAAGGACAUGAAGAACAACAGCUGUGCAGCAGGCUUUUAGUCAUAUAAAUUGGUAAGUCAGUCCAGAUGAUUUAUUCUUUUUAUCAGAUUCAUACAAUUGCAUUGGUUUACUGCAUCACAUAAGGCAACAGAUUAAGGGGUAAUUUUUCAGCCCAUAGACAUCUGAAAGUUAUUUUCUUUGUACCCUUUUAAAAUCAGGUGAGUGUAGUCCUGUCAGUCAAGAGUAAUAGUGUAGAAUACAUGGCUCCUGAAUUCCAUUUUGAAAAUAGAUGAAUUAAACAGUAAUCAUCUAGUAUAGUAGACCCUUGCUUUAACAAACCAAUUGGGGGAAGGGGGUGAUGAUGUAUCCUAAAUUCCAUUAUAUUGGAGAGAUCAGAACUUUUCACAUAAUAUAAUGAACUUUCUUUGUGUAUGAGCUAAAAGUUCCCUCUCCGACCAUUUCUGUAUAUAACAAAGUUUGUUCCCUAGACAAAUAGUACUCGAGUUACGAUGGGGUUUGGUUCUGUUAGGCAGGUCAUAAGAUGAAUUGGUCGAAAGUCAAAAUUUACAUCAAAUACAGUAUAAAACUAUUUUCAAAUGUCCUAACCUCCCCCUACCCCACAUCUGUUCUUGUGCACCCACCUCACCCCAGCCCUGUAUUCAGUUGACCCAUUAACCACACAACGAUGUGCAAUGUUAUGCAAUGGAGCCAUUAAGUUUUGCCAGGUCAGCGCAUGAGGACAGCAGUGGCGUAGAGAGGAGCUGGGAGAGUAGGAGGCACAGGAACGCUGUCUAAACAAACAGCUACUCUACCCGCAGUGGGAUAUUUGAAAUGUCAACUCAUUACUUUACGAAGUAUUCCUAAUAUCAACAGCUUAGUCAUAAAUGUGAGCAGUCGGAAGUUGCAUAUUCUGUAACUAGAGUACUACCUGUAUUAUGUGAAUGGUGGGCCACAAAAGGAAGAGAGGGGAAGUGUUUACAGUCAGGCUGACAAAGCUGGACUGACCAGACAUGCACCACCGGGUCAGAUUUGUCUCCACCAUUACUGACUGAUGAUAUGCGCGUACGUGUUCUGCCAGCCCACCACUGAACUGAACCCCGCACUUACCAAACUUGGGGCCAGAUUCAUUGAACCACUUAUGAGACCUCUUGUUAAAUAUGCUGGCAACUCUGUCCACUACGAACACUCCUUGUGUUUAGGCAGCUCUUAUGGCAAUGAAUGAAGUGACAGGCUGAUCAUUACUUCAGUCAUUGUCAUUGAAGCUUCCUAAAUACAAGGAGUGUUCGUAGUAGACAGAGUUACCAGAAGAUUUACCAGCAAGAGGUCUCGUAAAUAGUUUGAUGAAUCCGUCCCUUGUUUGGUAAAUUCCCACAUAUACCGCAGUGGUUCAAAAUGUUUGGCAAAGCUGGAAUUCAUUAUCUUGAGGUCCAUGAAAUCAAGAGCUUACUGUAAAAAAGAAAUGUGUAAUCAAUUAAUUUCAAUGAUUUACAGCCAUGUACCAGUUAGCUGAUCAAAAACACCGUCACUUUUUUUAUAUACUUUUUUAUUUAUUAUUCAGACCUGUAGGGUCUAGAUGGUAAUUUUGUAGGAUAAAUUUGAAGGCCUUUCAAUAAUCAUCAGCUCUCUUUGGUGAAACCCUCCAGAAGGAAACUUUAAAUGUAUCGAUAUCAAAUUUCCCUGAGGUAAAGUGAGGAAGUUAUAGACAUUGCAUGAUGACCUGCAAUAACAUAUCAUAAAGUAUUAGAAAUUUGCAUAUAAAGAAGAUAAUCAGACCCUUUUCUGCUUCGGUGGCAGGAUACAAAUUUUAAUCACCUAGAAUUAUAGCAAAAUAUUCAUUAAAUACUUUUGUGUCACUUAGUGUCAUGAGCCAGAGCUUUUGCAAUAUGAACAAGGGAUUAGCUAAAUGGUCAGAUAAGGGAUUACACAAGGAAUUAUUGAUCAUAAUUGAAUGUUUGAAAAAAAUGGCCAUACAUGAAGAGUAAUCAAACAUGGUCAUAGAUGAUUCAUUUUCCUUCCAUGUCAGCAUGAAAUUCCUUGGGAGCUGCAAAAUGUCUUAUUUAUCCUCUGAAUCAAAUAAGGCUAAUGCUACUUUUAUCACAACCUUCAUUAUCAGAUUCCAUUUUCAUAGUUUCAGUAGUUUCAUCAUGAUUAUUAUCCAGUUGUUCUUCAUUGAUGUUGAGUCGGUCUGUAGUAUCUGUAAUGAGGUCAUCUCCAGCAUCAACUUUGAGUUCUAAUCCCAAAAAUUUUAUGUGGUUGUACCAGCGAAGGACAUGAUUGUAAGAGUCCUGAGGGGCCUCACUAAGUGCAGUGAAUACUUGGAUAUCCACCUCAGAAGGGGUGUGGCCCUGGAGGUAGCUGCAAUUCUCCAAGUGCUGGUUCAGCUUCUCAAGGCCAUGUGCUGUGUUCACAUCUUCAAAAAAUUCCAUUGAUCUGAAAGAUUAAUUGUCAGCUGAAGAUAGCUUCAACAGUGGCUUGGCAACCAUCCCACACUCUGCCUCCUCAUGGAUCCAUAACCCUUCAUGGUGUCACCCCCACCAAAGUAAGUUUUACCAACUUUUUUUGCCAUUGUCUGAUGAUAGGGACUGGUAGCCUGAGAAGGCAAUGUUCUGUCUAUUGGAGACUCAAAUUCUACAUGGCAGCAUGCCAUUGUGACAAAGUCAAUACACUAAAGUUAUCCUCUUGUUAUCCAUCUAUAUGAGUCCCAAAGGCCCCUUUCAGAUCAAUCAACCUUUCCUGGUCCACCAUAGGUGGUAUAAGGUCAUGCAUUCCAGGGGCCUUAUACAUCAUAGUACUUAAGAGUACUCUGAUAUUCUCUAAGACUUGCCUACAUCACUGAUUUGACAGCAAGCCUCUCUUCCUUCUCAAAUGUUCCUCAUGCUUCCAUACUUUCAAGCUCUGGCUCUUCUGUCCCUCACCUUUAUCACAUCUCCCAUACAUCACUGUCUUUUUCCUUGACGUUACCAUUUACCUCUAUCUUACCACACCAUAUGACCUCUGAUGUCAGGCGCAUAGUAUUUUCCAUAAACUAAUACAUGUGAGUAUCCUCCAGUGAAUGAUCCCAGCAUACAAAUUCAAACAAUUGAUAUAAAAGUCUUUGUGAGGCUGCCACUAUUUUUCUUAAGGAGCAGGUUGUUUAUGUUGUCCCCAAACUUACUACAACCCCAGAUUUUAGGACAUCCCAACUAAGAGCACUGAAACUGAUGUAGGACAUUAUAAUAGUGUUCUUCUCCCUGUUCAAUGGUGAAACUGACAGCCUUUCUCUUAGUAAAGUUAAUGUAAAUGCACAAGUUAUGUGAGAGAACACAGACCACAUCUCUUUAGUCUCCAUACAUGAAGAAAACAACUUAAUUUUAC